rnacentral:rRNA from 1 species
UACGUAGGGGGGCAAGCGUUGUCCGGAUUUAUUGGGCGUAAAGAGCGUGUAGGCGGUUUGGUAGGUCCGCUGUGAAAACUCGAGGCUCAACCUCGAGACGCCGGUGGAAACCAUCAGGCUAGAGUCCGGAAGAGGAGAGUGGAAUUCCUGGUGUAGCGGUGAAAUGCGCAGACAUCAGGAAGAACACCCGUGGCUAAGGCGGCUCUCUGGGACGGUACUGACGCUGAGACGCGAAAAGCGUGGGGAGCGAACAGG